rnacentral:tRNA from 1 species
GAGGGUAUAGCUCAAGUGGCAGAGCGCAUGCUUAGCAUGUACAAGGUCCUGGGUUCAAUCCUCAGUACCUCCU